CCCUUAGAUGUCCUGGGCCGCACGCGCGUUACACUGUUGCAUUCAACGAGCUUAUAACCUUGGCCGAGAGGCCUGGGCAAUCUUGUUAACGUGCAUCGUGAUAGGGAUAGAUUAUUGAAAUUAUUAAUCUUGAACGAGGAAUUCCUAGUAAACGCAGAUCAUCAAUCUGCAUUGAUUACGUCCCUGCCCUUUGUACACACCGCCCGUCGCACCUACCGAUUGGAUGGUCCGGUGAAGCCUCGGGAUUGUGGUUCUUGCCGCUUUAUUGUGGCGUGACCGCGAGAACUUGUCUAAACCUUAUCAUCUAGAGGAAGGUGAAGUCGUAACA
rnacentral:rRNA from 1 species